GGUGGCUCAUUCACUCCUGCCCCUGGCUUUCACGGUGUGGGAUGCCAGCUCCAGUUCAAAGCGUAUUUAUUUUCAAAUGAAACUAUCAUGCUACUGGGAAACAAACAAUAGCAGCAAAAUCUGUGGCCUAAUUCAUUAAAAGCACAAAUUACCAAGGAGUUGCUUGGAAAGCGGAGCCAGUGGAGAAGGCGAGCACAGAACGUGUCAUGGGAGCGAGAGAGAGAGCUGCCACACCCGGUUUGGGCGAGCUAGAGGCACGUCAGCAGAUUAAACUCUCCAUUUCGGUGUUCCUUUGCGUGAACCGAGAGAAGACAGCAGAUCUCCCUGACAAGCGGCCAGAGCAGACUGCCCUUUAAAUACAUAUAUAGAAAUCUCUCCCUAUUUAGCCAUAGCACGAUUCCCAUUUUUUUAGUGCAUUGUUGCAUUCCCAGAUAAAAUCUAACACCCCUGGAGGAAAGGUGUAAUAUCUGUCACAAAGAUUUCUCUUUUCAGUACACAAUACUUUUUCUUUUCUUUUUCUGAAGAAUUACGUUUAUGACUGAUCACUCAACACCUUGUUGGCUCUGAUUGCAGAAAACCCACCUUAUAAAUAUAUGAUAACCACCCUGUAAUAGGGAGUGUGACAAUUUACUUCACAGUGCAUUUCAGGCUGCUAAUUGAUCGUUUCAGUCCAGGGACUAUGCGGAAUAAAUUAUAGCCAUCAAAAGGAUAUCGCAGUUCAUUUUGGUAGAAUGGUUUCUAUGUCACUUCUUGUUCGUCUUUUGCCCAAUAGCUGCAUUAGCCCCAUGUGGUGGUGUUUUGUUAUUACGAGCUGUUUCCAUGUCAGAGAUGCAAAUCUGAGAAUGAACACUAGAGGCCGCUCUAUUUGCAUACUUCUACCACGAUUAGCCGCUGGGUCUGCCUACACCAGCCACAGAGUAAGAAGGUUUGAAUCAGAAACCUCACAACUAAAAGGCUUUGAAUCCUUUGGAGAAGGCCAGUUGGAUUUACAAGAGAGCACAACAGAAGCACGUCGGCCGACCCCCUCCACCGCGUGUAAAGACAAGCGAUAAUAAUAUCCAGGGGGAGAGUAUCCCGAGAACUGAGCAUCAAACCCAUCUGACUCCACUGUUUCGUCUCGAAAUAGUGAGGAGGAGAAAAUGGUGAAGAAGCGAAUGGGUUCAACUGGGAAACUUACCCAGAGUCCAUGAUGGUGUCUUUGUCUAAUGAACUACUCUGGCUGUUGUGUGAGAACCAUUUUGGUUUUAUUACUAGUAGUGAUAUUGCUUUUCAACCUUGCGGCUAUCCCUCCUAUAUUGUGGAAAGAAUAUAAGAUGAGCUUCACAAUUUCAUUAUGGGUGCUUUCAUAUGCAGGAAGCUUUUCAGUUUAAGAGAAAAUCUGAAUCUGACUUUCAUAUAACAUGAAUAUUGUAAAAGCAGUAUCUAUGUGUCAGCAUUUCAGUGCAUAUUUUAAAGGGCUUCUAAUGUGAGGAAAAACACGCAAUGACAAGUGUGGAAAAGAGCAAGCACUAAAUUACUGUCAGAAAAAUAAACGCAGUAGCGCGCUGCUGCACGGUGAUUUACGGGGGCAAUUAGCCACCACCCCACAGAGCUGCUGAGGACAGCACGGCUGCCUGCAGAAGUGUCAGGCAGAGAGGAAGAGGAGCUUUGGCUUUGCCUUUCCAGACAACUUUUCACACAACAAAAGGGGGAGGGGCGCAGCAUAUGCUGGAGCACGUCCUCGUUCCGUGUGUACCCAACCCUUCCCACCUCGCUCCCCCGCAACUGAAUCCCCCACAAAGUGUGCUGAGCACUGCAGUCACCUGCGGUGUGGCCGGGAGAGGGGCGCUCCAGCGGCACGUCUCUCCUGGUGCCCAGGCAAAGUUGUAUUUUUAAGUCCCCCGCCCGCCAUGAUCUCCCUCCCCCCACCCUGUCUCCUCAUAUCUUGCAGCCACGGGCUUUGCGUUUAAACGCAAAAUUCUCCGUGGAGCCUGGGGGGUCUUUAGGAAUCUGGAGUAGUCUGCAAAUCUGCUUGUUUAUCAUGGGAGCCAAGCUGGCUAGCAGGUGCAGAGGGUGAUUAAAGAGACUGUAAAAUAAAGGUUAAAUGAAAAAUACUCUCCAAGAGGAGAGCUUCCCGCGCGGGCUCGCGGAAAGGGUCUAGCUGCAAGCGGGGCCGAGCGCGCGGCGGGCGGGGAGACAGCUGCCAAUCAUCUCCGGGGGCCGCCCCGGGCGUCUCGCGCUCUCGCGGGUCAGCGC